rnacentral:rRNA from 1 species
UACGUAGGCGGAAAAUUAAGUCAGUAGUGAAAUCCUGCAGCUUAACUGUAGAACUGUUAUUGAUACUGGUUUUCUUGAAUAUAGUUGAGGUAGGCGAAAUGUGUAAUGUAGCGGUGAAAUGCUUAGAUAUUACACAGAACACCGAUUGCGAAGGCAGCUUACUAAGCUAUGAUUGACGCUGAGGUACGAAAGCGUGGGGAGCGAACAGGAUUAGAUACCCUGGUAGUCC